CUCCUUUUGGUGUAGUUGGUUUAUCACGUUCGACUGUAAUGGAAGCUCAAUGCCAUCGAAAGGUCCCUAGUUCGAUUCUGGGAAGGGAGA